rnacentral:rRNA from 1 species
AGUGAACGCUGGCGGUAGGCCUAACACAUGCAAGUCGAACGGCAGCACAGUAAGAGCUUGCUCUUACGGGUGGCGAGUGGCGGACGGGUGAGGAAUACAUCGGAAUCUACUUUUUCGUGGGGGAUAACGUAGGGAAACUUACGCUAAUACCGAAUACGACCUACGGGUGAAAGCAGGGGAUCUUCGGACCUUGCGCGAUUGAAUGAGCCGAUGUCGGAUUAGCUAGUUGGCGGGGUAAAGGCCCACCAAGGCGACGAUCCGUAGCUGGUCUGAGAGGAUGAUCGGCCAAACUGGAACUGGGACACGGUCCAGACUCCUACGGGAGGCAGCAGUGGGGAAUAUUGGACAAUGGGCGCAAGCCUGAUCCAGCCAUACCGCGUGGGUGAAGAAGGCCUUCGGGUUGUAAAGCCCUUUUGUUGGGAAAGAAAAGCAGCAGGUUAAUACCCCGCUGUUCGGACGGUACCCAAAGAAUAAGCACCGGCUAACUUCGU